rnacentral:rRNA from 1 species
AUGGAGGGCGGCAUGGACGCGAGCUUGGACUUCCUGGAGCUGGAGGCCCAUCUGGUGUUCGAUCUCGGCGACUGCUGCAGCUCGUACCUGCCGGCCGAGGACUCGCUCUCCGGCCUCGACUCCUCCUGCUACAACGACCCCACCAGCUCGCCGGACGGGGCCACCAGCUCGCGGUCCACGGCGUCGACCAGGGCGAGCAAGAACAUCGUCGAGGAGAGGGACCGGCGCAGGCGGCUCAACGAGAAGCUCUACGCCAUCCGCGGCGUCGUCCCAAACAUCACCAAGAUGGACAAGGCGUCCAUCAUCCAGGACGCCGUCGCAUACAUCGAGGAGCUGCAGGAGCAGGAGCGCCGGAUCCUCGCCGAGGUGUCCGACCUCGAGGCAGGCAGCUGCACCGCCGUGGUGGUCAAGUCGGAGGCCUCCACCGGGAGCGAGGGGGUGGAGGACGCCGGCGUUGGCUUCUCGACGCGGAAGAAGAUGAGGAGGACUGCUUCCUCCUCCAUCAACGACACCGUCACUUCCCCUGCCACGCAUCCGAUCCUCCUUGAGCUGGAGGUGAGGCCUAUAGCGGAGAAGCUGGCGGUGAUGAGCAUGAGGCACGACAAUGCGCAGAACGUCAUGGCGAAGAUGUACAAGGCACUCGAUUCACUCUGUCUCAAGGUCAUCACCUCAAGUGUGACCGUCGUGGACGGCCGCACAGUCCACACCAUGUUCAUCGAGACGGAAGAAAUGGAUAGUGUUGAGACGAUCAAGGAGAUGGUACAGGCUGCACUCAGCCAUCUCGAUUUCUCGAUGUGA